UACGUAGGUGGCAAGCGUUGUCCGGAUUUAUUGGGUUUAAAGGGUGCGUAGGCGGUGACCUAAGUCAGUUGUGAAAUACGGCAGCUUAACUGUCGAGGUGCAAUUGAUACUGGGUUACUUGAGUACAGAUGAGGUAGGCGGAAUUGACGGUGUAGCGGUGAAAUGCUUAGAUAUCGUCAAGAACACCGAUAGCGAAGGCAGCUUACUGGGCUGUAACUGACGCUGAGGCACGAAAGUGUGGGGAUCAAACAGG
rnacentral:rRNA from 1 species